rnacentral:rRNA from 1 species
AGUGAACGCUGGCGGUAGGCCUAACACAUGCAAGUCGAACGGCAGCACAGUAAGAGCUUGCUCUUACGGGUGGCGAGUGGCGGACGGGUGAGGAAUACAUCGGAAUCUACUUUUUCGUGGGGGAUAACGUAGGGAAACUUACGCUAAUACCGCAUACGACCUACGGGUGAAAGCAGGGGAUCUUCGGACCUUGCGCGAUUGAAUGAGCCGAUGUCGGAUUAGCUAGUUGGCGGGGGAAAGGCCCACCAAGGCGACGAUCCGUAGCUGGUCUGAGAGGAUGAUCAGCCACACUGGAACUGAGACACGGUCCAGACUCCUACGGGAGGCAGCAGUGGGGAAUAUUGGACAAUGGGCGCAAGCCUGAUCCAGCCAUACCGCGUGGGUGAAGAAGGCCUUCGGGUUGUAAAGCCCUUUUGUUGGGAAAGAAAAGCAGCAGGUUAAUACCCCGCUGUUCUGACGGUACCCAAAGAAUAAGCACUGGCUAACUUCGUG